rnacentral:rRNA from 1 species
GACGAACGCUGGCGGCGUGCUUAACACAUGCAAGUCGAACGGAAAGGCCCUGCUUGUGUGGGGUGCUCGAUUGGCGAACGGGUGCGUAAGACGUGAGUAACCUGCCCUUGACUUUGGGAUAACUUCAGGAAACUGGGGCUAAUACCGGAUAGGAGCUCCUGCUGCAUGGUGGGGGUUGGAAAGUUUCGGCGGUAUGGGAUGGACUCGCGGCUGAUCAGCUUGUUGGUGGGGUAGUGGCUUACCAAGGCUUUGACGGGUAGCCGGCCUGAGAGGGUGACCGGCGACAUUGGGACUGAGAUACGGAGCAGACUCCUACGGGAGGCAGCAGUGGGGAAUAUUGCACAAUGGGCGGAAGCCGGAUGCAGCAACGCCGCGUGCGGGAUGACGGUCUUCGGGUUGUAAACCGCUUUCGCCUGUGACGAAGCGUGAGUGACGGUAAUGGGUAAAGAAGCACCGGCUAACUACGUG